GAGGUUAUGGCUCAAGUGGUAGAGUGUCUGACUAGCAAGCAUAAGGCCUUGAGUUCAACACCCAGUAACAUUU
rnacentral:tRNA from 1 species